GACGAACGCUGGCGGCGUGCUUAACACAUGCAAGUCGAACGGUAAGGCCCCUUCGGGGGUACACGAGUGGCGAACGGGUGAGUAACACGUGGGUGAUCUGCCCAGCACUUCGGGAUAAGCCUGGGAAAAUGGGUCUAAUACAGGAUAGGACCCAUGCCUGCAUGGGCGGGGGUGGAAAGCUUUUGCGGUGUGGGAUGGGCGCGCGGCCUAUCAGCUUGUUGGUGGGGGGAUGGCCUACCACGGCGACGACGGGUAGCCGGCCUGGGAGGGUGUCCGGCCACACUGGGACUGAGAUACGGCCCAGACUCCUACGGGAGGCAGCAGUGGGGAAUAUUGCACAAUGGGCGCAAGCCUGAUGCAGCGACGCCGCGUGAGGGAUGACGGCCUUCGGGUUGUAAACCUCUUCCACCAGGGACGAAGCGCAAGUGACGGUACCUGGAGAAGAAGCACCGGCCAACUACGUGCCAGCCGCCGCAGUAA
rnacentral:rRNA from 1 species